rnacentral:misc_RNA from 1 species
UUCGGUAUCCUGUGUUGCUUACCUAUCGAAAGGAAUCCGACGGUUUCGUUGGUCCCUCUCCGCCCCAUGCCCUCGCGGGUGGUGGGGUGGACGUCAGGCAAGCCUCGUGUUCCCGGCACGCCUCGCCCAGUUGCGUGGCUGCCCAGGCCCACGGGGCGCGUUGCCCGUGCUCUCGGAUGCGGAACGUUGUGCGCGGGCGUGGGGUCUUUUGGCUCCGUCGGCCCGAGCAACGCAUUUGUCCCUCGACACGAACGACCGUCGAACCCGUCUUGAGCACGUCUCAUGCGGGCGUCGGCGUCGCGAAGGAAUGCUACCUGGUUGAUCCUGCCAGUAGUCAUAUGCUUGUCUC